rnacentral:misc_RNA from 1 species
GAUGAAGAACGUAGUGAAAUGCGAUACUUGGUGUGAAUUGCAGAAUCCCGUGAACCAUCGAGUCUUUGAACGCAAGUUGCGCCCGAAGCCAUUAGGCCGAGGGCACGCCUGCCUGGGCGUCCCACGUCGUUGCCCCCCCAUCUACUCCUUCGGGAUUGCGGGGGGCGGAUGAUGGCCUCUCGUGCGCCUCGUCGCGCGGUUGGCCUAAAUGCCAAGUCCUCGGCGACGCACGCCACGACAAUCGGUGGUUGCGAAACCUCGGUUGCCUGUCGUGUGCGGUCGUCGCGCAUCGAGGGCUCGAAAAAAUUGCCGGGCUUCGGCUCGACUUUCAACGCGACCCCAGGUCAGGCGGGGUUACCCGCUGAAUUUAAGCAUAUCAAUAAGCGGAGGA